GAAAAGUCUUGCAUCUCACUCAUCGCAAUAUCUGCGGCGCUGCUCGUGGCAACGUCAUUUCGCUGGGUGUACCUUUAACAUAUUGUAACGAAACAGCAGGGAGCAAGUCUCGAACCCUCAACCUUCUAGCCCGAAGUCCAGCGCGCUAUCGACUGUGCCCCAAAAGCAUGCUCGAGUGGCGGAGUCGAUACCCGGGGUUAUAAACCCAGGGUCGUUACAAUAUUACCAGUGUCCAGGUAUGGCAUCUCUCCUGGACCAGGCUAGCCUGAUAAAGACAGCUGCUAUAGAGAAGGUGGUGGCCCCCAUCGCAGUCCACCUGGUCCACUUGGUCCUGCUGUGUGAGAGGGCAGAGGGGCUGGAGGGACCAGAGCAGUUCACCCAGCUAGAGGGAGAAGCACAGGCUGUGGCCAGAGCCACCAAGAACAUGGCCAUCGUUGCCUACAGGUGGUGGGACCCUGCAUUCCAAUUCACUCUAUCCUUUCUCUUAAAACGUUCAGAAGCCACAGAUGAUGAGGUAAUGAGGACAGAGAUGUCAUCCCUAGUGGAGCCGAUGACUGUGUCUGGACAGCAUGUCCUCCUGGCAGCCCAGAAACUCAGUAUCCAGCCCAGCCUUGCCGAGCACAGAGAGGAGCUUAUCACUGCAACACAGAAUGUUCUGCUAGGAGUGGUCAAAAUACUUUCAGUGGAAGAUGAUGCAACAGUGAGAAAGGUCGUAGUGGCUGCAGACUGGGUGUUGGACUGCCUAUCCUCUCUAGCUUCCUCCCUGGACAUCCUGUCUCUACUGAAGGCCUUCCAUCGGUUCACUGAGGCCCUGGUUCUCCUGAACAACCUGGUAGUGGAGCGGGCUGAAGCCCUGCAGGGUGGAACACCAGGAGAUUCCAAAGAAGGGAUGACUGAGAGCAAUCUUUCUCCUACUCUGAAGAAGCUUGAAUACCAACCAGACAUUGCACCCUGGCAGACAACCAAUCCAGAGAAUAUAAAUACCACAGAACAGAAUUCCAGUAUCUGUGGUGCAACGCCCAAAUAUGAACCUGCGAUGGCAACAAAACAAUAUGAUGCCCCAAGGUCUGCAUUCUUCAGAGACACCCUAUC
rnacentral:lncRNA from 1 species